rnacentral:misc_RNA from 1 species
UGCGAGGAAAUGCUUCACGGAUUGAUCUUAUCAGCAAUUCAUAUCCACCCUCACAUGGCGUUUGUGAAGGCAUUCGUAGCGAAGCUGUUGAGGGAUUUUUCCUCGAGAGAGUCGGCGAGGAGGGGUUUGGAGAGAGCUUUUGAGGCGAGUUUGAAGAUUGUGAAGGAUUCGCUGGAGGAGUAUUCGAGUCCUGAUUUUAGAGG